GUUUAUCCUGACUUUAACCUUAACUAUUUCUUAAUUUACACAUGCAAGUCUCCGCACUCCCGUGAAAACGCCCUUUAACCCUUCAAAAGGACAAGGAGCUGGCAUCAGGCACAGAACCCUUGCCCAUAACGCCUAGUUUCACCACGCCUCCAAAGGUAGUCAGCAGUGAUCAACAUUGUUUAUAGGCGAAAGCCUGAAUCAGUCAAAGAAAAGAGAGUCGGCAAACCCGGUGCCAGCCGCCGCGGCCAUACCUGUGGACUCAAGUUAAUGACUACCGGCGUAAAGCGUGAUUAAAGAGCCACUAAGUUAGAGUUGAAUGGAAGCUUAGCUGUUUAAAGCUUACUUAUUAAGAAACCCAGAAACGAAAGUUACUCUAAUUAACUUCUUGACUACACGAAAGUUUGGGAACAAACUGGGAUUAGAUACCCCACUAUGCCACACCAUAAAUUUCACCUACACUUAAAACGCCAGGGUACUACGAGCCCCGCUUAAAACCCAAAGGAUUUGACGGUGUUCCACCCAACUAGAGGAGCCUGUUCUAUAAUCGACAAUCCACGAUCUACCUAACCAUUUUUUGCUACUCAGCCUGUAUACCUCCGUCGUAAGCUUAUCAUUUGAAUGAAGAAAAGUAAGCACAAGGACUAAGAGCCAAAACGUCAGGUCAAGGUGCAGCUUAUAAAAUGGAAGAAAUGAGCUACAAUUUCUAAUUUAGAACACACGAAUUACUGCAUGAAACAAAGUCAUGAAGGUGGAUUUAGCAGUAAGUAAGGAAUAGAGAGCCUUACUUAAUUUGGCCCUGGAACGUGUACAAACCGCCCGUCACCCUCUUCGAUAGCUUUUUUACUAGUUAAAUAACCUAUUUGCCGCGCCUUAGAAGAGGCAAGUCGUAACAUGGUAAGUAUACUGGAAAGUGUACUUGGAAUACC
rnacentral:ncRNA from 1 species